rnacentral:rRNA from 1 species
CCUACGGGAGGCAGCAGUGAGGAAUAUUGGUCAAUGGGCGUAAGCCUGAACCAGCCAAGUCGCGUGAGGGAUGAAGGUUCUAUGGAUCGUAAACCUCUUUUAUAAGGGAAUAAAGUGCGGGACGUGUCCCGUUUUGUAUGUACCUUAUGAAUAAGGAUCGGCUAACUCCGUGCCAGCAGCCGCGGUAAUACGGAGGAUCCGAGCGUUAUCCGGAUUUAUUGGGUUUAAAGGGUGCGUAGGCGGCCUUUUAAGUCAGCGGUGAAAGUCUGUGGCUCAACCAUAGAAUUGCCGUUGAAACUGGGAGGCUUGAGUAUGUUUGAGGCAGGCGGAAUGCGUGGUGUAGCGGUGAAAUGCUUAGAUAUCACGAAGAACUCCGAUUGCGAAGGCAGCUUACUAAACUGCCACUGACAUUGAUGCUCGAAAGUGUGGGUAUCAAACAGGAUUAGAUACCCUAGUAGUC